rnacentral:lncRNA from 1 species
AUGGUUCAACACAGAAAUGAUACUGUUGUAGUCGGUUUAGAGUUUCUCUUCUUGCAGAAGGCGCUGUCACUGCCGUAUGGUGCUGCUGUGAAAACAGGAAGAUUACAUGCUGACCUUAUUCACUGCAAUAGUGAUAUCUCUUCUGAUCAGAUGGUAGCUUCUCAGAGUGUACAGGGAAAAGCAAAGUCUCAGCUCCCAGGUAGGGUCACAGAACAAUGGCAGUUCUGCUGGGAUGGUUCAGAAGAGGUUCUUUGCCUGGCCUCAAGUUUUAGUGUCAACAGCGCAUGAAAACAAGCCUCAGGAGAGGAACAAAUGACCGAGAUGCUUCUAGUAAGGACCUUAAUGAGGAUGGAAGUGAAGACAAAAGGGAAGCUAUGAGACUUGAAAUAUGAUGCACCAUUCCACAGUUUUGAAUGUGGUCCUGUGGGAGAAUAAAGACUGUUGUUUAUUUACAUUAAUUUGACAGUCACAGAUUAUUUAAGAGUUCUGAUUGCCUACAUGCUUAAUAUUUGAUAAACACACCCUGAGAUACUUGAGCUAAUUCACCUUCUUACUCCAAGUUUGUGGUAAAAGUUUAUCCUGUAUUUUAGAUAUCCUUAAUAACUGAGAAAGAGUGAUUAUGGCAAGACGUAAUAUUCAGUGCAACUAAUGAUCAAGGAAUUUAAGAAGAGUGUGCUGAUAGAGGUUCUUUACAUUAACUUGUAGCAGUAGCUUUAAGGAAUUGUUAAAGUGACUUCUUUCACAAAUAGGAAAGGAAAGGACAGCACCUAGAGGUCUAAAUGUCAUUUGUUCAUUUGAGAACAAUAUACAAAAAGUAUCAGAAAUCAGUUUCUUUGCAUUAAGAAGUAUAUGUGAUAAGGUGAAAGUAUCAGAUUUGCAUAUUAAAAGCAAUGGCACUCAGUGUCAAAAAGGACUGUGGAUAAGGCAGAAUCUUAUCAAUUACAAUAAAUAGAAUGAAAAAAAGAUGUAAGCAUAACUCCAGGUGGCAUCAAAAUCUACUAGGCUAAGUCUAUAAGUGCAAAUGUGUAUGUUAAUUGCUAAUAUGUCUCACUUAGCUGAAUGAGCCGGUAUGUUCGGAAUCCAAGUCAUUCAGCUCUGCACUACUUCAGUGAAGCUGAAGUGGUUGCAGUGGAAGCACACACUUAGGUCUCCCAGGACAACCAAAAAUACAUGCACUUGCCCAUCAUCUUGAUGUAUUCCUAAAGAAAUAUAAACCCUAUUUAAAACAGCUCUUAGGUCUAAUGAAAAUCUAUGAUAUAUAUAUUCAGAUAUAUGUAAGGCUACAUUUUUCAGCCCAGCACCUUUUCCCAACAUAAAUUCCUAAAGAUUUUAACUGCAUUCCUUUUUCAGCAUAGAAGAGUUAUGUUGUUAACUACUGGCAUGGGAAGAGUGAUUUUUCAGGAGGGAGUAGGGAGUGAGAUAGUGCAAGGUGAAAGAAGGCAUAUUAGAAUUACCAAGGGAGAAUUUUCAAACUACCUCACAUCCCCACUUCCUGACUUUGGGAGUCUGAUGUGUGCCUCAGGAGUCUUAGGACCUAGUGGGGUGUGCAGAGGGGGAUGCAGCUUGUUGGAGCCUCUCUGAUCCAGUUCUGUUCCCACACAUUCCCUCAUGUAGAAUUCCCGAAGUGAAGGAAAAAACACUUCUUCUCUGAAAGAUUAUUUAAAGGCGGACUCCUGAGGGAACAAAUAAAACAAAGUAAUCAGCGGAACAGUCUCAGUGUUCCUGACUGAGAUUGAACCAAAUGUUCCUGAGCAUUCUUCUUCACACCUUUAUUAUCUUAGGAAAAAACAAGCUGUUCCAACUUUCUCACUUGACUGUCACAUUCUAGGUAACAGAAUGUCUCAGAAUGCUCAAUGGUACUGGAGGGAUUAUGCUGAAUGCCCCUUACUGAGGGCUUCAUCAAGUAUUAAUGCAAAUAAAAAAUUUAAUAUUAUUAUCUAAAUAUAAUGCCCUAAAUCUCACCCCCAGGGUUUCUCUUCUUCAGAUAAUUUUACUUAUUCAUGGAAAUAAGUUAAUACAUGCCUAUGGUACACUUUAUAGUAUCAACCUUUGUCAGAAAUAUUUAAUUAAUUGUAUUUCAUUCAAUUGUGUAAUUUGACUCCCAGGCCUCAGUAUUGAUUCAACCCCAAAAAUAUUUUGAAUUAUACCUUUCCUCAAGAAACAAUAGAGGAAGCAACUUAAGUUUCUAUCCACACAGUGGAGAAAAUGUGGUACAUAUACACAGUGGAGUAUUACUCAGCCAUAAUAGCAGAAUGAGAUCCUGUCAUCUGCAACAACAUGGAUGGAAAUGGAGGACAAUAUGUUAAGUGAAAGAAGUCAGGUGCUGAAGACAACGUUCACAUGUCCUCAUUCAUUUGUGGGAACUAAAAAUGAAAACAAUUUAACUCAUGGAGAUAGAGAGUAGAAUGAUGGUUACCAGAGGCUGGGAAGGGUAGUGGGGGAUGGUGUGGAAGGAAAGAGUGGAUUGUUAACGGGACAAAAAUAUAGUUAGAGAGAAUAAAUAAGAUCUACUAUUUAAAGCCUGAGCAUGGUGGCUCACACUUGUGAUUCCAGUGCUUUGGAAAGCCAAGGAGGGAGGAUCGAUUGAGGUCAGGAGUUUGAUACCUAUGCCUAGGCAACAUAGCAAGUCACAUAUCUACAAAACAAACUUUAAAAAUUAGCCAGGAGUGGUGACAUGUGCCUGUAGUCCCAGCUACUCAGGAGGCUGUGGCAGGAGGAUUUUUCGAGCCCAGGACCUAGAGGGUGCAGUAAGCCAUAUUCCUGUCACUGCCCUCUAGCCUGAGUGACAGAGCAAGACCCUUUCUCUGAAAAAAUUAAAAAUCAAUCAAUCCAUCAAUAAACCUAGUAUUUGAUUGCACAAUAGGGUGACUACAGUUGAAAGUAACUUAUUGUACAUUUUAAAAUGCUAAAAGAAUACAACUAGAUUGUUUAUAACACAGAAAAGGUCAAAUGCUUGAGGUAAUGGAUAUCCCAUUAACCCUUAUGUGAUGAUUACACAUUACAUACCGCUAUCAAAAUAUCUCAUGUACUUCAUAAAUAUUUAUACCUACUAUGUAUCCAUAAAAAUAAUAAUUUUUGUAAAGAAACAAUAGCGCCCAGGCUGCCGUCUAGAGUGAAUCAUAGAUACAGGAUCUAGGAAAUGACCUAACUAUAAAUAAAUAUAUACAUACACAUAAAUACUAAUCUUUUUAGAUAUAUAAAGAAAUAUG